rnacentral:rRNA from 1 species
CCUGCAUGAAGUUGGAAUUGCUAGUAAUCGCGGAUCAGCAUGCCGCGGUGAAUACGUUCCCGGGGAUUGUACACACCGCCCGUCACACCAUGAGAGUCGGGAACACCCAAAGUCCGUAGUCUAACCGCAAGGAGGACGCGGCCUAAGGUGGGUUCGAUAAUUGGGUGAAGUCGUAACAAGGUAAC